GAUGAACGCUGGCGGCGUGCCUAAUACAUGCAAGUCGAGCGAACGGACGAGAAGCUUGCUUCUCUGAUGUUAGCGGCGGACGGGUGAGUAACACGUGGAUAACCUACCUAUAAGACUGGGAUAACUUCGGGAAACCGGAGCUAAUACCGGAUAAUAUUUUGAACCGCAUGGUUCAAAAGUGAAAGACGGUCUUGCUGUCACUUAUAGAUGGAUCCGCGCUGCAUUAGCUAGUUGGUAAGGUAACGGCUUACCAAGGCAACGAUGCAUAGCCGACCUGAGAGGGUGAUCGGCCACACUGGAACUUAGACACGGUCCAGACUCCUACGGGAGGCAGCAGUAGGGAAUCUUCCGCAAUGGGCGAAAGCCUGACGGAGCAACGCCGCGUGAGUGAUGAAGGUCUUCGGAUCGUAAAACUCUGUUAUUAGGGAAGAACAUAUGUGUAAGUAACUGUGCACAUCGUGACGGUACCUAAUCAGAAAGCCACGGCUAACUACGUG
rnacentral:rRNA from 1 species